UAGCAGGCCUACUGUACGUUCUAUCGUGUCAAUUGUCAUGUCAAGCAGCUGUCAUAUGUCACGAAAUAGCUUCCAUAUGUCACGAUAUAGCUGUCAUAAUAUUAUGUA